rnacentral:tRNA from 1 species
GCUGAGGUGCCAGAAUCCGGUUAAUGGGUCCGCCUGCAGAGCGGAUUUGUAUGGGUUCAAAUCCCAUCCUCAGCU